UCAACAGUUGUUCCAGCACACUCUUCAGGAAAGCUACCUUCCCUCUGCGGGAUCACAGGCAAUCACCCACACAGAAAUGUAAAAGUAGUUCGGCUCCAACGGCAAGGAAAAGAAAAUAAAGAGGGAGCCAUAACAAUCACUGAGUGUGACAGUGCUGCGCAUUUAUAUUGCUUCUGCAACAGAUGACAUCUUUUCACUGACAAUCCUCCAUGAGCAGUUGCUAAUUUUCUGAACACAGUCAACCCCUGGGGUUCAAGCAGCUGAGGAGUCGAGGAUCAGAGUGUAUGAAUCACUCAGGAAGAGAUGAUCCUCCUCCACUGUGAAAAUCUGACAAUCAGGCCUUCACUCAAGAAAAAAAAAGGUGGUGUCUCUCUCCAGCUCCAGUGUCCAGCUCUGAAACCCACCCAAGUCUUAGAACCUUCCAAGGUGCAACACAGAGUUGCUGAUCUGGAAGAAGCAGUGCUGGGAAGAUCUAGCGCUCCUCCUAGCCAGAAAGAUCCAGUCUCUGCUUGAAGGAACCGACUAUCUCUCAUGAAAUAUAUUACAUGUGGCUGCUCUGUCUCUCACAUGGCAUUUCUCUGCUUGUGUUACAAAAAGUAGAGGCGAGGGCUGUACAUUAAAGCAAGCAGAUCAUAAACAUGAAGGUGUAAUCACAGUUUUACUUCACAUCUGAGUACUCAGGGAAAGUAAGCAUGAAGGAGCUGCAAGUAGAACAAAAGCAAAUUCAGCCUUCCAUCUGGUAGAAAAAAAUCUGCUGGUGUAUUGAAAAUUGUUCAGAACAAUGCAGAAUUUCCCCCCUGCACAUUACAGGAUCAGUUAUUGCUCACAGCAAAGUUGCAAGUCUAGCAUCUCUAUGCAAGCUGACACUCAAAUGGUCAGAUACUAGGUAGAUGGAUGCCUUGCUGAGAACUUCCUCAGAUUCACCCAGUGCUU